rnacentral:rRNA from 1 species
CGGGGUGAGUAAUGCUUGGGAAUCUAGCUUAUGGAGGGGGAUAACUACGGGAAACUGUAGCUAAUACCGCGUAGUAUCGGAAGAUGAAAGUGUGGGACCUUCGGGCCACAUGCCAUGGGAUGAGCCCAAGUGGGAUUAGGUAGUUGGUGAGGUAAAGGCUCACCAAGCCGACGAUCUCUAGCUGGUCUGAGAGGAUGACCAGCCACACUGGGACUGAGACACGGCCCAG